GACUGCUCAGUAACACGUGGAUAACCUACCCUUGGGACUGGGAUAACCCCGGGAAACUGGGGAUAAUACCGGAUAGAUCAGGGAUGCUGGAAUGCGCCUUGUUCCAAAGCUCCGGCGCCCAAGGAUGGGUCUGCGGCCUAUCAGGUUGUAGUGGGUGUAACGUACCUACUAGCCGACGACGGGUACGGGUUGUGAGAGCAAGAGCCCGGAGAUGGAUUCUGAGACACGAAUCCAGGCCCUACGGGGUGCAGCAGGCGCGAAACCUUUACAAUGUGCGAAAGCAUGAUAAGGGAACUCCGAGUGCCAGCAUCUAAUGCUGGCUGUCCUUGUGCCUAAAACGCACAAGAUAGCAAGGGCCGGGUAAGACCGGUGCCAGCCGCCGCGGUAACACCGGCGGCCCGAGUGGUAGCCGCUAUUAUUGGGUCUAAAGGGUCCGUAGCCGGUUCGAUAAGUCCUCUGGGAAAUCUGGUUGCUUAACAAUCAGACUGCCAAGGGAUACUGUCGAACUUGAGACCGGGAGAGGUAAGAGGUACUUCAGGGGUAGGAGUGAAAUCUUGUAAUCCCUGGGGGACCAUCUGUGGCGAAGGCGUCUUACCAAAACGGGUCUGACGGUGAGGGACGAAAGCUGGGGGCGCAAACCGGAUUAAAUACCCGGGUAGUCCCAGCCGUAAACGAUGCUCGCUAUGUGUCAGGUACGGUGUGACCGUAUCUGGUGCCGUAGGGAAGCCGUGAAGCGAGCCACCUGGGAAGUACGGUCGCAAGACUGAAACUUAAAGGAAUUGGCGGGGGAGCACUACAACGGGUGGAGCCUGCGGUUUAAUUGGAUUCAACGCCGGAAAUCUUACCGGGGGAGACAGCAGCAUGAAGGUCAGGCUGAAGACCUUACCAGAUCCGCUGAGAGGGAGUGCAUGGCCGUCGUCAGUUCGUACUGUGAAGCAUCCUGUUAAGUCAGGCAACGAGCGAGACCCGUGCCCACAGUUGCCAGCAUACCCUUCGGGGUGAUGGGUACUUUGUGGGGACCGCCGCUGCUAAAGCGGAGGAAGGAGCGGGUUACGGUAGGUCAGUAUGCUCCGAAACUCCCGGGCUACACGCGGGCUACAAUGGUUGGGACAAUGGGAAUCGACACCGAA
rnacentral:rRNA from 1 species